GGCCGGCAAAGCCCGACCCCCACCUCCUCGUGGUGCCGGCUGGAUGCAUAAGACCCUACCCGUCGUGGGUUGCAGCCAACGGGGGCGG
rfam:Anopheles farauti strain FAR1 unplaced genomic scaffold supercont2.12, whole genome shotgun sequence.